rnacentral:rRNA from 1 species
GACGAACGCUGGCGGCGUGCUUAACACAUGCAAGUCGAACGGAAAGGCCCUGCUUUUGUGGGGUGCUCGAGUGGCGAACGGGUGAGUAACACGUGAGUAACCUGCCCUUGACUUUGGGAUAACUUCAGGAAACUGGGGCUAAUACCGGAUAGGAGCUCCUGCUGCAUGGUGGGGGUUGGAAGGUUUCGGCGGUUGGGGAUGGACUCGCGGCUUAUCAGCUUGUUGGUGGGGUAGUGGCUUACCAAGGCUUUGACGGGUAGCCGGCCUGAGGGGGUGACCGGCCAAAUGGGGAAUGAGAUACGGCCAAGACCCCUAGGGGAGGCAGGAGUGGGGAAAUUUGCAAAAGGGGCGGAAGCCUGAUGCAGCAACGCGGGGGGGGGGAUGAGGGCCUUGGGGUUGAAAACCGCUUUGGCCGGGAAGGAAGGGGGGGGGAGGGAAAGGGGAAAAAAAGCAACGGAUAAAUACGU